AACAGUAAAAUCAUAAUGAAAAACUAAAGCACAUAAAAGCAGAGCGUUAACCUCGUACCUUUUGCAUCAUGGUCUAAAUAGUCCCCUCAAGCAAAAUGAAUUAAAAGUUUGAUCCCCCGAAACUAGGUGAGCUACUUAAAAACAGCCUUCGGGCCAACCCGUCUAUGUUGCAAAAGAGUGGGAAGAUUUUUAAGUAGAGGUGAUAAACCUACCGAACCUAGAGAUAGCUGGUUAUUCAGGAAAGGGAUUUAAGUCCUACCUUAGGUUUUUGUACAAUACAAGUAACCCCACAACCUUAAGAGCUAUUCAAAUAAGGUACAGCCUAUUGAAACAGAAUACUACCUCACAGCAGCCACCUUUAAAAAAGCGUUAAAGCUUCAUUGUUUUUUUGUAAAAAUUCCUCUAAUCCUCUACAACCCCUUAACCUGUACUGAAUAGUCUCAUGUCUUCAUGAGAGUCUAUAUGUUAGAACUAGUAACAAGAAGAAGCCCUUCUCCAAAAUGUAAGCAUGAGCCAAAAUGAACUAUUCAUUGGCAUUUAAAGUUAAUAAUCCUCUAGUAGUAACUGAUCAAGAAAAAUCUACUAUUUUUAACGUCAACCUUACACCAGCACAUUUCUGGAAAGAUUAAAAGACUAGGAAGGAACUCGGCAAACAAUUAACCCCGCCUGUUUACCAAAAACAUCGCCUCCUGAUUUCCAUAAGAGGUCUAGCCUGCCCAGUGACAAAGUUAAACGGCCGCGGUACCCUAACCGUGCAAAGGUAGCGCAAUCACUUGUUCUUUAAAUGAGGACUAGUAUGAACGGCAUCACGAGGGUUAUGCUGUCUCCCUACUUUAUUCAGUGAAACUGAUCUCCCCGUGAAGAAGCGGGGAUAAAAAUAUAAGACGAGAAGACCCCAUGGAGCUUUAAACUCAGUAUCAACUGCCAUUUUUAAAACCUAAUACCUAAGCAAUUUAUGACUACUAGUUUUUGGUUGGGGUGACCACGGAGUAAAACCUAACCUCCACGAUGAAAGGAAAUAAUAACCUAAAUUAAGAGUUACAACUCUAAAUAUCAACAAAUUGACUAAAUUGACCCAAUUAAUUGAUCAACGAACCAAGUUACCCUGGGGAUAACAGCGCAAUCCAUUUCAAGAGCUCCUAUCGACAAAUGGGUUUACGACCUCGAUGUUGGAUCAGGGUAUCCCAGUGGCGCAGCCGCUACUAAC
rnacentral:rRNA from 1 species